GAUUAAGCCAUGCAUGUGUAAGUAUAAAUAAUUCUACUUUGAAACUGCGAAUGGCUCAUUAUAUCAGUUAUAGUUUAUUAGAAAAAAUGUACUACUUGGAUAACCGUAGUAAUUCUAGGGCUAAUACAUGAAUGAAUCCUCGACUUUGAAGAGGUGUGUUUAUUAGUAUGAAAACCAUAUGCUUUGGCAUGAUAGUGAGUAAUAAUAACCUUUCGUAUCGCAUGUUGAAAUAGCGAUAGUUCUUUCAAGUUUCUGCCCUAUCAGCUUUCGAUGGUAGUGUAUUGGACUACCAUG
rnacentral:rRNA from 1 species